rnacentral:rRNA from 1 species
CCUACGGGAGGCUGCAGUGGGGAAUAUUUGGCAAUGGGCGCAAGCCUGACCCAGCAACGCCGCGUGAAGGAAGAAGGCUUUCGGGUUGUAAACUUCUUUUCUCAGGGACGAAGCAAGUGACGGUACCUGAGGAAUAAGCCACGGCUAACUUCGUGCCAGCAGCCGCGGUAAUACGUAGGUGGCAAGCGUUAUCCGGAUUUACUGGGUGUAAAGGGAGUGUAGGCGGGACUGCAAGUCAGAUGUGAAAACCAUGGGCUCAACCUAUGGCCUGCAUUUGAAACUGUAGUGCUUGAGUACUGGAGAGGCAGACGGAAUUCCUAGUGUAGCGGUGAAAUGCGUAGAUAUUAGGAGGAACACCAGGGGCGAAGGCGGUCUGCUGGACAGCAACUGACGCUGAGGCGCGAAAGCGUGGGGAGCAAACAGGAUUAGAUACCCCGGUAGUC